UAGCGGAGCGUGUGGUUUAAUUCGAUGCAACACGAAAAACCUUACCAAGGCUUGACAUGCUAGUAGUAGGAACCCGAAAGGGGGACGACCGGCCUUCGGGCUGGAGCUAGCACAGGUGCUACAUGGCUGUCGUCAGCUCGUGCCGUGAGGUGUUGGGUUAAGUCCCAUAACGAGCGCAACCCCUGUUCUGUGUUGAUUUCUCACAGGAGACUGCCCAGGAAUUCUGGGAGGAAGGUGGGGAUGACGUCAAGUCAGCAUGGCCUUUAUGCCUGGGCAACACACACGCUACAAUGGGUGGUACAGAGGGCAGCUAAAGAGCGAUCUGGAGCUAAUCCCACAAACCCACCCCCAGUUCAGAUUGCAGGCUGAAACCCGCCUGCAUGAAGUUGGAGUUGCUAGUAACCGCAUAA
rnacentral:rRNA from 1 species